CCAAGUUGUAUAUUGAGCCUAACCCUAGCCCUUUUAAGGGGCACUGUGUGGAACGGCCCAGGCUCCCCAGAUCGAAACUUCUCACUCUUCACCAUCCAUUCCUCGAGCCGCUGUGAAGCAGUCCUCAAGCGGCAGUUAUGGCAGUCCAUAAAGGCUCGGGCACAGCUGGAAGCACACGUGACACAGAUGAUGGAACAAGUCCAGCUAGAAACAGAUGAAUAUACUCAACAUCUAAAAGGAGAGAGGGCCCGGUGGCAGCAGAGGGUAUGGAAAAUGUCAGAGGAGGUUUGCACAUGGAAGGAGGAGAAGAAGCAUGACAGGCAUCGCGUACAGGAGCUGGAGAGGAGCUUGGCCGAACUCAAAAACUAGAUGGCUGAACCCCUGCCCCCGGAGCCCCCAGCAGGGCCCUCUGAGGUGGAACAGCAGCUACAAGCUGAGGCCGAGCACCCGAGGAAGGAGCUGGGGAGUCUGGCAGGACAGCUCCAAGCUCAGGUGCAAAACAAUCAAGGCUUGAGUCACCUGAACUGGGAGCAGGAGGAGAGGCUGCUGGAACGGGAGACGCUGCGGGAGCAGGAGAGGCUGCAGGAGCUGGAGGAGAAGCUGCAGGAGCAGGAGAGGCUGGGAGAGCGGGAGGAGAGUCUGCAGGAGUGGGAAGAGAGUCUGCGGGAGCGGGAGGAGAGUCUGCAGGAGUGGGAGGAGAGUCUGCGGGAGCGGGAGGAGAGGCUACGGGAGUGGGAGGAGAGGCUGCGGAGCAGGAGGACAGGCUGCUGGAGCUGGGGCGGAAAGCCAAGCUCUGGGAGGAGCAGGCAGAGACAUGCAUGCAGGCCCUGCGGAACCACACCACCAUCAACCACGCGCUGUCUCAGAACCAUGAGCUCGACUAGCAGCUGGCUGGGCCACCGAGCGGCUUUUGGAGCAGCAAGUAAAGGAGCUGCAGGAGAAGCUGGGCAAGCUGAAGGAGACUGUAAUCUCUGCCCAUCCAAGAAGGGCUGGGAGGAGCACCUGGAAGGUACCAGCCAGCAGAACCAGCAGCUACAGGCCCAGUUGAGCCUCAUGGCACUCCCUAGGCAAGGAGAUGGAGGAGAACAUCUGGACAACGUGGAAAAGGAGGUGCCUUGGCCCAUGCUGAGCAUCCCGGAGGACCUGGAGAGCAGGGAGGUAAUGGUGGCGUUUUUCAACUCCGCUGGAGCCAGUGCCCAGGAGGAGCAGGUAUGGCUAUGUGGGCAGCUGAAGGAGCAAAGGGUGUGGUGCCAGCGCCUGACUCACCCGGGUGGCCUUGGCCCAGAAGGAGCCAGAGGUAGUGGAACCAUCCCCAGGGACUGGGGAUGAGUCUGUGUGUGGGUAGACUCAUCAGGCCCUGCAGGGGUCCAUGGAGAAGUUGCAGAGCGGCUUUAUGGACCUCCUGAAGGAGAAGGUGGACCUGAAGGAGUGGGUGGAGAAACUAGAGCUUCGAUCCAUCCACCUCUCAGGACAGACAGACACCAUCGGAAAGUAAAUCACAACAUAUGAGGGCCAGAGGGCAGCGCCAAAGACGCGGCACCAGGGGGAGGAGGACAUCAUCAGUCUGGCCCAGGACAAAGAGGAGAUGAAGAUGGGGCGUGUGAAACUGCUGGAGCUGCAGGAGCUGGUGUUGCGGCUUGCAGGUGAUCACAAUGAGGGGCAUGGCAAAUUCCUGGCCGCUGCCCAGAACCCUGCUGAUGAUCCUGCUCCAGAGGCCCCAGCCCCUCAGGAGCUUGGGGCUGCUGACAAGCAGGGUGAUUUUUGUGAGGUGAGCCGACAGCCUGGAGCCUGCACCAGGAGAGGCCAGGGAGGGUUGUCCCCAUGACAACCCCACUGCACAGCAGCUCAUGCAGCUGCUUCCUGAGAUGCGGGACCCCCAGGAGUACCCAGGCUUGGGCAGCAGCCCCUGCAUGCCAUUGUUUUACCAGGCUGCCAAGAACAGGGAGCUAAACAUCACCAUCAUCUAAGAGCUGGUCAAGAAAUUAAAAAAGAAGAAAAAAAAGUUAUGGGGUUAAUCUCCUACACAAUUCAUUUACUUCGUUUGAAUGUUAGAGUCACUCAUGAUUAUUUGUGUUUCUAAUUUAUAGUUUACAUUUAUUUGUAAAAAGUUAAAGGAGAGUGGGUCUUUCCCUGUUGUUCACUCUGGCAUCCCUUAGUAUUUUUCUUUUUUAAUUCCAUAAUUGUAGGUCAUUAGAAUGCAUAUGGAGUUCGCCCUUACAUGGUGGGAAUUCAAACACACAGACUCACUAUUUGCACAAAACUGUUCUUUCUGGUUUGGAGUAGGCCGCCAUGCUUUUUUAAUGUUCUUGCAGCAUCUAUAUUCAUUACAGAAUUCAGAUAAAAUUUGCUUAUGUUCUGCUGUUAUGUUUGAUCGAAUUCGAAUCAUGGUAAGCUCAUUAGCUCAAUAUGUGGUUUGCCCUCAAGUGCACACUGUUUAUUACUUUGUAAUAUGCCACUAUGAGUACUGACAUUUAGAGUUGUUUAAAGGCCAAGACUGGAAACAGCCCUACCCUUAUUUUCUGUGUAUUGGGGAUGGGAGUAAUAACAUUUUGGGGAGCUUUUAAAAUCUCACAGAGAGGAAAAUGGCCUGCUCUGGCAGGUGUGUGCAGGAUAGAGUAUGUCUCAUGUGUUCCGGUGCCAAGAAUGAGCACUGUACUAUGGUAGUUCCCUUAGGAUUUGUAUGUGCUCUGGGCUCAUGAAGAUAUUGCAUCAUGAGUUGUGGCCGUUGUACCCUUUUUUGAUUACCUAAAAAGGGAUUAUUUCUGAGACAUGAAAGGCUCCCAUCAUUGACUGUGGAUGUGGAAAACCUUUCCUAGCUUAGAGCAUUUAUAUCUAUAAUACAUUUUAAAGUCAGAGUUCAUGUUACCUGUUUUAAUGACAUGACUACAUGUCCCAGUAGACAAAAGGGCACUGGUGGGCAUUCUUCUUAAAGUAUUUAGUAAAGAUCAUAAGAAAUCCUUUAAAAGUUUAAAUGUCCCA